GAUGAACGCUGGCGGCGUGCCUAAUACAUGCAAGUCGAGCGAACAGACGAGGAGCUUGCUCCUCUGACGUUAGCGGCGGACGGGUGAGUAACACGUGGAUGACCUACCUAUAAGACUGGGAUAACUUCGGGAAACCGGAGCUAAUGCCGGAUAAUAUAUUGAACCGCAUGGUUCAAUAGUGAAAGACGGUUUUGCUGUCACUUAUAGAUGGAUCCGCGCCGCAUUAGCUAGUUGGUAAGGUAACGGCUUACCAAGGCAACGAUGCGUAGCCGACCUGAGAGGGUGAUCGGCCACACUGGAACUGAGACACGGUCCAGACUCCUACGGGAGGCAGCAGUAGGGAAUCUUCCGCAAUGGGCGAAAGCCUGACGGAGCAACGCCGCGUGAGUGAUGAAGGUCUUCGGAUCGUAAAACUCCGUUAUUAGGGAAGAACAAAUGUGUAAGUAACUAUGCACGUCUUGACGGUACCUAAUCAGAAAGCCACGGCUAACUACGUG
rnacentral:rRNA from 1 species